GAAGCAAGGUCAUUCCAUCGUUCACACGGCUCAGAACUGACUGCCGGGUUGUUAAAAUACAUCUGCCGCUGGCAUGAACCCCAGAGGAGGAGGAUUCGUGGGGAAAAGCGGAAAAGUGUCAGUUUAGAGGCUGGGGCACGGUGCUUGGGGCAGAGAGAGAUGGAGGGAAGGUGCUGAUGGAAGGGAUGGCCGGGGAGGGUGCGGAGAGCAGGCGGCCGGGGCAGGGCUGAGCGCGGGCGGGGAGCAGCGCUGGCUGCAGGCGGUGCCGCUCGCUGCGGGGACAGGGCAGUGGGGCACGGGAGCCGGGACAGCCGGGCGGGGACAGGGACAGCCGGGCACGGGGGCCGGGACAGCCGGGCACGGGGGCCGGGACAGCCGGGCGGGGCCGGGACGAGGGUAGGGACAGCCGGGGCGAGGGCAGGAGCGGCCGGGGGGGGCCGGGGCCGGCACAUUCCGGGCAGGCGCAGUGAGCGCACAGCGCUCCGGGCCCAUGGAGGCGGCGGGGCCGCAGCCCGCACCGGGCCCCGCGGCGGGGCCGCAGCCGGGCGCCGAGGAGAUCGACAUGUCCCUGGAUGACAUCAUAAAGCGGCACAGGAAGGAGCAGCCGGAUGCCAGCGCCGUGGGCGACAGCAGAAGGCAGCAGGUCAAGAACAGGAGCUCGGCCCCCGGCUAUGGGCGGCCCCGGUACCGAGCCUGGAAGCAGAGGAAUUUGCAAGGACCUCAGCGUUUCAGAAGAGGCUUUGGACAGCAGCAGCUCAAUCGGAGGCAGUUCAGGAAUGCUCUGCCUGGUGGCAAGAGAAGAGCGGCUGCUGCAUUCCAAGGAGUGAGCCCUUUGAACCGCCAGGACUCGGCCCAGGAGGGCGCCAAGAAGAGCAAUGCUUUUGCCAAAAGCAGUGGUGGGCAGCAGGAGGAACAGCCACAGCCAUCUGCAAGCCCCAAGAGAUUCAGAGCUGAUGCUGCCAGCAUCCGUGCCCCAGGGAGGAGCAGGCCUUUCCUGCUGAACAGAGGAGCAGCAUUCCAGCAGAAGCGGAUGCAGCAGUGGUUCUACAAAGCUCCCUUCCAGAGAUGGCAGAUGGAUUCUCAAGGAGAAGGGAAACCGCCAAGGAUGAGAAGGUGGCAAGUGAAACCCAGCCCGGGAGCAAUUCUGACGGUUUCUGUGCUUAAUCCCCAGGCGGGCCAGCUCAGCCUGCCUGGAUCCAAGCGCCCAUUCCUGCGAAGCCAGAGAGCCCCAGCACAGGUGGCCAAGCCCCAGCCCCGGGGGGUGCUGCUGAGGUUCAACUUCCGCGCCAUGGCCAACCAGACCAGCCUGACUCUGGAUGAGAGGUUCUCUGGUCUGAGGAAUAAGAGGCGCUUUACAGCGGCCAGGAGCGCCCGGCGGACGGUCACCAUGCCUUAGGACACGUGCUCGGCACAGGGACUGCCUGGGACACUCCAGGCUCCCCAACACGGCCUCAAUAAAAGUCCUUAGAUUCCCUUUGAGAUAGCUGAU
rnacentral:lncRNA from 1 species